rnacentral:misc_RNA from 1 species
GUACAUUAGUGCUUGCGCACGACAAUAAAUUUCAUUACAUUCGAGUUUGUAUGUAGAAUCCUCUGCCAGCCGAAGCUAGCAAGAGGCCAAAGGUUCACAAGGGUAUUGGAAUGAAAGCCACCGACGUGCACUUGCAGGGGCCAGCACAGAAGGCAACAGUUUACAAUCAAUAAUGAUCCUUCCGCAGGUUCACCUACGGAAA